UACGGAGGGGGCGAGCGUUAUUCGGAAUUAUUGGGCGUAAAGGGCGCGUAGGCGGCCCGGUAAGUCAAAGGUGAAAUCCCUCGGCUCAACUGAGGAACUGCCUUUGAGACUGUCGGGCUUGAGGCCGGGAGGGGGUAGCGGAAUUCCCAGUGUAGCGGUGAAAUGCGUAGAUAUUGGGAGGAACACCGGUGGCGAAGGCGGCUACCUGGACCGGUUCUGACGCUGAUGCGCGAAAGCGUGGGUAGCAAACAGG
rnacentral:rRNA from 1 species